UUUUUUGUUCAAGGAACAAGCUAGAGGCAGGGGAAGGGCAAUAAGAGUUUGAGGCAGGGGAAGGGGAACAAGUAUGCCAAGUGUUCCUGUCAGACAACCAGAUCAAGCUGACACUUCAAUCCAAGAUAGACCUUUUAGAAGAACAAAGCUUGGGGCGAGAAGAAGGGGGCAAAUGUCUGAACUAACAAGGCAGCUUGCUCAAACUGGUGCUACCUUACAAGGAAUUCAAAUUGGGCAUGCUUCUCAACCAAACUCAGAAAACGUACCUCUACCGAAAAGACCAAGGCCAUGGAGAGUGUAGCUGAGAUUUGCUGAUUUUGGUUUUUUGGAACACCAAAACAUUAGGACUGCUUAUGUAAUGGAUAUGUUUUGGAACAUUUUAUUUUGAUGAAUUUGUAGCUGAUAUGGUCCUAGGAUUCUCAUACUGAUUUCAGAAGACCAAGUAUUGGAACACAAAUGUUUUGGUUGGAUUACAGUUAGAACACAUGUGUUGCUUGGAUUUGUGCGGUGGAAUG